UGGGGAAUCUUGGACAAUGGGGGAAACCCUGAUCCAGCCAUGCCGCGUGAAGGACGAAGGUUUUCGGAUCGUAAACUUCUGAACGAGGGACGAAAAAUGACGGUACCUCGCUAAAAGCACCGGCUAACUCCGUGCCAGCAGCCGCGGUAAUACGGAGGGUGCAAGCGUUAUCCGGAAUCACUGGGCGUAAAGGGCACGUAGGCGGUCUUCUAAGUCCGAUGUUAAAGCGUGGGGCUCAACCCCAUCACGGCGUUGGAUACUGGUAGGCUUGACGACUGGAGAGGUGAGUAGAAUUACCAGUGUAGCGGUGGAAUGCGUAGAUACUGGUAGGAAUACCCAUUGCGAAGGCAGCUCACUGGACAGUACGUGACGCUGAGGUGCGAAAGUGUGGGGAGCAAACCGGAUUAGAUACCCGGGUAGUCC
rnacentral:rRNA from 1 species